rnacentral:rRNA from 1 species
GACGAACGCUGGCGGCGUGCCUAAUACAUGCCAGUCGAGCGGACUUUCAAGAAGCUUGCUUUUUGAAAGUUAGCGGCGGACGGGUGAGUAACACGUGGGCAACCUGCCUGCAAGACGGGGAUAACUCCGGGAAACCGGGGCUAAUACCGGAUAAUAUCUUCCUUCGCAUGAAGGAAGGUUGAAAGGCGGCGCAAGCUGCCGCUUGCAGAUGGGCCCGCGGCGCAUUAGCUAGUUGGUGAGGUAACGGCUCACCAAGGCGACGAUGCGUAGCCGACCUGAGAGGGUGAUCGGCCACACUGGGAAUGAGACACGGCCCAGACUCCUACGGGAGGCAGCAGUAGGGAAUCUUCCGCAAUGGACGAAAGUCUGACGGAGCAACGCCGCGUGAGCGAAGAAGGUCUUCGGAUCGUAAAGCUCUGUUGUCAGGGAAGAACAAGUACCGUUCGAACAGGGCGGUACCUUGACGGUACCUGACCAGAAAGCCACGGCUAACUACGUG